rnacentral:rRNA from 1 species
AUGCUUCCGAUAAUUUACAUGGACCAUCUUGAUGUGCCAAGAGGAUGCUUAGUUGAUCACACCAUCAACUACUCGCUUCCUAGAGCUUGUUUUGUUCAUGAAAGGGACUUUUAUGCUGUUGUCGCAGUGGACACCCUAGAUGAUGGGUUUGGGAAGCGUCCAUUCAGGACCAAUACACCGUACGCAGUAGUUGAGUUCAUGUCAUAUAUAGAUCAUCAUCGCCAAGGAGCUGCCAGUGAACAUGUCACAGAGGAAUUGCCGGAAAUCAGCAACCAAGGGGGUGCUGUUGGGGGCGCAACACACACUCCAGAUGUGCCUGAGAGCUCCCACAUGCAAGAAAAUGUACAUGUGGGAGCAGAUGCGGGUUCUCAAAGCCCACCUCACGCUGGCACAGGGGGUACCAAUGGGAGCGCAGAGCAUGUGCAUGAGCCGCCUCCAUCUAACACAGAGAGUGGUGACGACGUGUGCGGCUCUUUGGAGGAGUGGCUCCAUGCAUUGCCGAUAAUCGAGGAGUUAGAGUUGCCCCCACAGAUGCAAGUCAUAUUUAACAAGCACAAAGAGCUCCAUGCCAGAGAACUUAAUGUUGCAUUCAGCUCAUUUGGGAGGAUCUUGCAAGGCAUGUACUGCAAGCGAAUGGGCCUAAUAUUGUCUGAGGCACACAAAGCUGAGUGCAGCAUUCAUGGACAGAGAGCCGAAGGUGAAGGCAUCACUUUCAGUGUACCAGGGGGGUCUUCUGCUGCAGGCAUGUCUGAUAGGACUGCAACUGAACCUUUUGCGCAACAGCCCAAGCAUCCAGAGCAGCCCAACAUUCAUCCUGUCAUUGUACCGUCUCCGCAACAGCCCAAGCAACCAGCCACUGCCACUGUACCAUCUCCGCAACAGCCCAAGCAACCAGCCACUGCCACUGUACCAUCUCCGCAACAGCCCAAGCAACCAGCCACUGCCACUGUACCAUCUCCGCAACAGCCCAAGCAACCAGCCACUGCCACUCUACCAUCUCCGCAACAGCCCAAGCAACCAGCAGUGGAAGUAGGUCAAAACAACGACAAUGAUCAGAGCAAUGGCAGGGGAGAAGACUCAGGCAGCAAGGUAAACAUCACUAAAUUUAAGCCUCCUCGCAGCCCAAGCUUCGCACAUGUGAAUCUGACGAGGAGGCCAGGCACGCUUGAAGACGAACCUUCUUUUGGAUUGUUUGAACCGGGGAGUGAUGAUGAUCUACUAUUUCAGGAGUUUCCUCAAGUUCGUACAUCCCCUGUAAAAACUUCUGUUGCAGAUUUGGACUCCUUGUCGAUCCGUACGAGGAGCCCUUUGUUUGGUGAAUCUCCGGCUACCUCAGCUGGGCCAGUUUACGAUGUGACUCCCAUCGCAACACGUCCUCCAAUUUCGACAGGCCCUGCAGAAGCAGGAGUAGCUGAGACAAGAGAGGAGGUGGUGAUUGAAGUGAGCAGCGGGGGAAAACGUGAUGCGAAGAAGCCCACACUCAAGAGAGUUGCAAAAUUGCCAGAAAACGCACCGAAGCUGAAGAGGAUGAAGAAGAUCAAAGUUAAUGCUUCCGAUGAUGCCAUAUAUAAGUAA